rnacentral:misc_RNA from 1 species
GAUGAAGAACGUAGCGAAAUGCGAUACUUGGUGUGAAUUGCAGAAUCCCGUGAACCAUCGAGUCUUUGAACGCAAGUUGCGCCCGAAGCCAUCAGGUUGAGGGCACGUCUGCCUGGGCGUCACAUAUCGUUGCGCAAUGCCUAUUGCAGUGCAAUAGGAAUUUCUAGGGCGAAUGAUGGCUUCCCGUGAGCGUUGUUGCCUCGCGGUUGGUUGAAAAUCGAGUCCUUGGUAGGGUGUGCCAUGGUAGAUGGUGGUCGAGUUAGAACGAUACCGAUCAUGUGCAUGCUCCCCAAAAUAUGGCCUCUAUGACCCACACGCGUCUUUUGACGCUCAUGACGAGACCUCAGGUCAGGCGGGGCUACCCGCUGAAUUUAAGCAUAUCAAUAAGCGGAGGA